rnacentral:lncRNA from 1 species
UGAGUGAGCAGGUAACUUCUACCUUUGCACCUCUAUCGAAACAGGUCCAAAGGUUCCAGAGCAGCUGGCAGGACACUCAGAGCAAGAUCCGGUGGCUUCAGGUGCGCCUCGUCCUGGAGCGUGGAAAGGCAGAGGCAGCUUCAUGUGGUGCUGAACAGAGAGAGCUAGCUGCAAGAGAAGCCAUUCCUCAACCUAGCUGCUGUGACCAUUCUCAAGAGGGGUGAUAAUCUCUCAGCUCACUUGUGUGGGAGGCAAAGAAAGAUGUCAAUUUGAAAGGAAAACAUUUGAGCCACUUGACUCUUAGAAGAGGAAAAAAAAAUCAAAAGAAUUGGAAGAGAAUGUGAGGGUAUAAAGCCUUUUGUAAAGGGUAAAGUUGGAGCAAGGAUGCAGGUUUCUUUCAUCUUCCAUUCAGAAAUUCUUAAGAGGAGCCACUUAACAAUUGUUGAUGUCUCCGGAGGGAGGAAGGACUUCCGGGUUGUGACACUCUUAGGGUCUGGAAAGCAUCCUAAAGGCAGGGUAUGUGGUGACAUUAGGAGCAUCUCCUAUAAGGGGAGUAGUAUGCCUAACCCACUAGUAUAGCUAGUGGUAGAGCUAUAGUUGACCUAGUCUGUCUCUACGGUCUGCUCCAUCGUAUAGAAAUCUUGGGCGAUGUCAGAAUCCUCCCCAUGUGGGAAACAUUUAGAGUGUCAUUACCAUGCGGUGGAACUGGAUGGAAAGACAAGACAACAAGAUCUUAGAAUGACCCAGCCCUUGC